rnacentral:rRNA from 1 species
AGUGAACGCUGGCGGUAGGCCUAACACAUGCGAGUCGAACGGCAGCACAGUAAGAGCUUGCUCUUACGGGUGGCGAGUGGCGGACGGGUGAGGAAUACAUCGGAAUCUACUUUUUCGUGGGGGAUACGUAGGGAAACUUACGCUAAUACCGCAUACGACCUACGGGUGAAAGCAGGGGAUCUUCGGACCUUGCGCGAUUGAAUGAGCCGAUGUCGGAUUAGCUAGUUGGCGGGGUAAAGGCCCACCAAGGCGACGAUCCGUAGCUGGUCUGAGAGGAUGAUCAGCCACACUGGAACUGAGACACGGUCCAGACUCCUACGGGAGGCAGCAGUGGGGAAUAUUGGACAAUGGGCGCAAGCCUGAUCCAGCCAUACCGCGUGGGUGAAGAAGGCCUUCGGGUUGUAAAGCCCUUUUGUUGGGAAAGAAAAGCAGCAGGUUAAUACCCCGCUGUUCUGACGGUACCCAAAGAAUAAGCACCGGCUAACUUCGUG